ensembl:ncRNA F38B6.9 ncRNA
UCCGUCAAUGACAAGUGGUAAAAGAAUGAAUAAGGAACGAUUUAUGAAAUGGGAUGUGUUGGGUUAGAAUGGAAUAGGAAGGUAAAGAAGUUUAAUCGAAAACUGUCGUUACCCAGGUGAAAAGUAUAAUGCUUUGAAAAAUGGUUAUAC